UUAGUGGCGGACGGGUGAGUAACACGUGGAUAACCUACCUAUAAGACUGGGAUAACUUCGGGAAACCGGAGCUAAUACCGGAUAAUAUUUUGAACCGCAUGGUUCAAAAGUGAAAGACGGUCUUGCUGUCACUUAUAGAUGGAUCCGCGCUGCAUUAGCUAGUUGGUAAGGUAACGGCUUACCAAGGCAACGAUACGUAGCCGACCUGAGAGGGUGAUCGGCAACACUGGAACUGAGACACGGUCCAG
rnacentral:rRNA from 1 species